rnacentral:rRNA from 1 species
AACGAACGCUGGCGGCAUGCCUAACACAUGCAAGUCGAACGAACCCUUCGGGGUGAGUGGCGCACGGGUGCGUAACACGUGGGAACCUGCCCUUAGGUUCGGAAUAACACAGAGACAUUUGUGCUAAUACCGGAUAAUGUCUUCGGCCCAAAGAUUCAUCGCCUUUGGCUGGGCCCGCGUAGGAUUAGCUAGUUGGUGAGGUAAAGGCUCACCAAGGCGACGAUCCUUAGCUGGUCUUAGAGGAGUAUCAGCCACACUGGGACUGAGACACGGCCCAGACUCCUACGGGAGGCAGCAGUGGGGAAUAUUGGACAAUGGGCGAAAGCCUGAUCCAGCAAUGCCGCGUGAGUGAUGAAGGCCUUAGGGUUGUAAAGCUCUUUUACUGGGGAUGAUAGUGACAGUACCCAGAGAAUAAGCCCCGGCUAACUCCGUGCCAGCAGCCGCCGUAAGAC